ensembl:snRNA U6 U6 spliceosomal RNA
GUGCUUUCUUUGGCAAGCGCGUGCGCUAAAUUGGAUAUGAUACAGGGAAGAUUAGCACGGCCUCUGCGCAAGGAUGACACGUACAUUCGUGAAGCGUUCCACAUUUUU